GCUCGCGCUGCCUCAGGCCGCGGCGGGAGAGCGGCCGGGCGCGGCCCCGCCGGCAGCGAGGGACGCCGCACCCCCAGGGCAAAGGCUGCGGCCCUCAGCAGUGGUUUACCAAAUCCUAAGUUUUGAUCAUGUGUCAGAGCCUGUUGACACACCAGAACUGGACACUUUACAGAGAUCUUCGGUCAAAUGCCAGCCUUCAGAGCACAGAUUCAUGCCUAGAAGGACAAGUUUCCCACGGAAAGCUGCCCUCCAGGAAGGACAGCAAAAGAGAUGGAGGGACCACAUAUGACAAAAUCUGAUCCUUUGGGUUUGAUUUCCCUCUGAGCUGACUGAGUGACUGUGCAUCCGUGUGCACCUAGCCUGUUAAUGAAGGCUCAUUCUGCUUCAACAGAGAAACAAAAAAAUGCAACAAAACACAUCUCUCCUCCAAACUGAUAGUUUUUCUGAUCGUGGCUUCAGAGACAACAGAUCCAGCCCACAUGAUGACCCUGAAUAGAUCAGCUCACUGAAAGGCAGGACACGUUUCUUUGAAACCUUAAUAUAAAUUAAAUGAGACAAAAUAAAUGCAGUGGCCAGAUAAUAGCACCAAGAAGAAUGGCAGAACAUUGAGGUUUAAUGGCCACAUGUUACAUGAAUAAUUCACUUGAACAAACCUAUGGAUGUGAGUAUUUAGGUUAAGGAUCUGGCUCAAAAAAACCAAAAGAAGAAAUAUAAGCAGGUUCUUAUUCAUAAUAACUCACUUCAAGCAAAAAGUCUGGAUAACCAUCUUCUCCAAAACAAGCUUAUGCUAGAAAUUAAUCUGCUUUUAGCUAGCACCAAAACCUACUACAGGGAGAAGUGCUAUAGAGCUCAUCAGCUGAGAAUUCAGUGGGACUCAAAAGGCAUCCUUAAAGCUGCUGUUCCCAGACACAUUCAGUGGCUUGAAGAAAACACAAUUUAAAAAAAUCAAUUGCAUGAGUAGCAGAAAAGGCCCUAGACAUGAGAGGUCCAACAGAAGCCAGGCCAGCUGCAAUGCCACCCUCCCUCUAUCCAACGGGAGAUAGGUCAUGUUGUCCUGAACACCUGGGGAUGGGUAACAUCCCUAGAGAGGAUAUUGUUAGGUACUAAGGUGUGCAACUGCAGUGAUGUGGGAAAUAGAAAGAGUAAAGUCCUGCUCUGGUUCUGCAGCAAGGUUAUUUUUAUAUAUAUAUUUAUAUAUCUAAAGACCAAACUGUUACCUUUAACUGAGCAUUAGAGAUAGGGACACAACAUCCCUAACUACCCAUAAGAGAGCAUAAAAUGCAUUUAGAAACACCACAAAAACAUUCAGAAAAUAAAAAGCCAUUUAGCAGGUGGCUAGAUUCUGAGAGAAACUGCUUUAUUUCCAUCACAUCCUAAACUGGAAAUACUCCUAAAAUGCAGUAGUCAUUUGCUUGAAUGGACUAUGGACAACAUCGCAUGUUGCACUGAGGAAUUGAGGAAUAACCCUAGACUCUGGCAGAAGUGCCUGCAAUCAUGUGGCCUGUCUGAAAGCAAAUGAUUUUUAAAGCAGUUUGAUCUUGCCAGAGGUGAGAAAUCUCCAUUUCCCACUCUGCCCCUUCCCUACAGAAACUCUGCAGUGCACGCUCCUCUAAAGGGUUGUUCUGCAUUUUUUAUCAGGAAAGUGAGACAGUCAUGAGGGCCUGCAGUCAUUCCUCAGCCACCAGGAGAAAGUUCAGCCUUGCUUUCAUCAGAGUGAAAGGAAAGGGACUGGAGGGAGAAAGGAAUAGCACUAGAGGGAGAGAUCAUACAAGAAUGUCCAACUAUCCAUUUUGCCUCUCACAUUUUCUGUCACUACAGUCUCCUCUUUGCCCUUAAAUAACGUUUACACAAAGAGUUAGGCCCUUUACAUUAAGGGUACAAAUUAAAUGCAAAGUCUAACGUUCCAGUUCCUCGUGCACCAGGCUUAUAACUCUGGGCUGUCUUGAUCAAUGGUGGUAGAAAUAUAUGCAAACAUACGUGAGAUAAUCCCCACAACCAGCACUGUGCUUAUGCAUCGUCAGGUUGAUUCUGUUUCCUCACAGAGCAGGUAGGAUCAGCCUUUGAAAUGACACAUAUUUCACCAAGGAAGCAAAACAUCUGAAAAGAAUGUCCUUACUGCACAAAUUAAGGCCUAUGGUCAUUAACAGUCAUAAGACUAAAACUACUGAGAUCUUCAUCUGAUUAAGUGUGAACUUCAGAUCUUGGUAACCCUGUAAAACAUGUGAAGUACCAAAACUCUAGUUGCAGGUAUUUUUAAGAUUCAAAGACAAGCUUUUAACUGGUACAGACAGAAAGAUUUGUUUCUUUUGUGAGUUAGCAACAAGUCAGAUAUAGGCUUGUAUCAAGUAUCCUGUGAACACCAAGACACGGUCACACACCCGUCAUGUAAAAAUUAACCUAUUUUGGCUAAACUCAUAACAAAACCUAAACAUCUUACUCUGAGGCAAAACAGUAAAUCUACUACAGUUAUACUCUACAGUCUUUCAGCUUGUUUCAAAGCCCUUGUAUUUAAAAGACAAGUUAAGAAUUGGUCCAUAUAGGCACUAGGAGUUCCCCGUUCAUCUGCACAUACUAGAGAAGUGCAUAUACACACUCAUCCCUAUGUUGAGGUGACACUAGCUCACUCCCAUUAGCAUCAGGGAAACAUUUCAAGGGACAUCUGCUUUUCUGAACAGAGUAUCUUGGAAGGUUUCAAACAGAAAAGAAACCCAACCAAACAAAAAGCCUGACAAAACUGAAUAAAUUAUUUUCCUCUCAGGACAGCAAACCCAUUCUGUAACAAUCAGGGGCUCAGGUCAAGUCUCCUUUACAAUACUUAAGUUUUAAGGCUUUAAAAGAGAAUUAAAGUAAGUGGGGGUGGGAAAAUGGAAGGUGAAAUGGGUAGAAAAGAAAUGGAAGAUGAUUAAGAGAAAUUGUCGGGGUUCUUGGUGCUGCAUGGUUGAGGCUAUGGCCUCUGACAAGAGGCCUGCAGACAGAGACCAGGGAAUGCAGCUGCUUAGUUAUUUAGCCUCCCUCCAGGCAAUCAGGUAGUAGAAGCAGCACUAAUAAGAUGAUGCAGGGUGAAGGACCAACACAUACAAUACAUAAAUAUGUUAAUGCAGUUACUGAAGUCAGUUUUUCUGCAGCCUGUAUAUGGUUUCAAAAUUAAUCCAUUCCUUUUACACAAGAGAAGCACAUUAAUCUUUCUUAAUUAGGGAGAAAGCAGGGCUAGCUUAAAAAUAAAAGUAUGGUUAAUUCUGAAGUCCUCUCUGUGCCCCACUCUGGUGCAAUCUGGUGAAGUACUUCCUCUAACACUGUUUCUGACUCGUGGGAAUGUAUUUGUGAAGUACCCGACUGGAAAUUCAAUAGAACAGCUUGUACUAUUUUCUUAGUCUGUCCAAGCACAGAUCUGCAGACAUAAGCAGGCACACAAAUAGAAUUCUACAUAUCAGUCAGUGUUUUCAUUAAAACAUCUCUGGGAUUCCCUUCAACUCAACAUCAGACAACUUCUCCCUGUUCUAGAACAAUGGAGUGCAAAUGGACCUCCUCAGAGAGUCAGAAGAACAAGAGAAAACACACUACUCGAAAAUCAAGCAUAUCCUUUUACUGACUGCAUCAAUGGGUUUUAAAAGGUGUUACCCGCAGUUAACAUCUGUCACACUUACUCUCAGCUUUAGUUACUUUACAUUACUCAUCUUUCAUUUGCUACCUUUUUCUUCAUUUGCUCUUGAAAGCAAAAAAAUAAAAGUGAGCAAUGCACUAAGGCUGGGAAGUUCCUCUGUAAUGACAGAAUUGCUGCUGCAGGGAUGAUAAAUCCAAAUAUGCUACUAUGCAAAACGCUGCGAAUCUGAAUUUCCAAAAGGCCUGACCCCAAGUGAGUGUGGAUCUCUGUGCAUUGCUGCUGAUCGCGAGCUCUACAAUCAAAUAAACCACAACAGAACUAGAGACGUUCUCGAUUCCAUUAGAGACAGAAACACACACCAGAUAGUGCUGCCUGUAUCACAGCCUGGAAAACCAGUACAUUUGGAAGUUUGGAAACUGUCUGAUUGAAUGACCUGAGUCUUCUGUGUUGUUAAUUUCUGUUCUGACAGAAGCAAAAGUUGACAGAUCAUCCUGCAAGUGCUAGGAAUAACUUCCAGCUUCUCUAUGCUUUGAUAAGACAACAUAUCUGAGAAACAUCAUUGUUCUGUGCUACUCACUGCAUGCUGCUUCUGAUUCAUCAGAUCCAUCGGGACAUUCUUCUUCUCCGUCACAUUUCCACCUGGCUGGGAUGCAGUGGCCAUUGUCACAAGUGAAAUCUGACUCAGCACAAGUUUUCUUUGCUGCAAGAAAAAAAAGAAAAGUACUUGGCAUGAAUAUAAGCAAUGCAGAAGACCUCCAGUGCAUCUAAUCCCAAUAAGGACACUACUGAUUUCCCUGUAUUUAGGAGUUUCAUGUCACAUUCAUCAUCACUUCUUCAUGACAGAGUCAAACAGGUAUCAAAGAUGGAUGCUGCUUCUCACUGUAAAUCCCUCCAUUAUUUAAUUUGGAUUCAUUUUUCUGUGUUGUUUUCCAGACAUUCAAUAGUCAGGGGUGUUUUUUCAAAAUAUUUUUCUAAGGUUUUUCCUACAAAAAGCUGCUGCCUCCCCAAAACUGAAAGAUCAGGUAAGACAAACAAGUCUCACCUUUGGAGUACUAAAAAUGUUUUUAUCUUUGCAAUGUGUUUAUGGCUUUUUAGUACAUCUGUCACCAUAGUAGAUUAUAAUAAAGCACUCCUCCAAACACUAGAAAUCAUUUCAUGAAAUGUCAACCACUCCAUGCUCUUGGCUUUGCUUGCAUUAAUCUAAAGCUUGAAAUAGAUGCAAGACAUGAACUCAAGCAAUUAAUUGGUCUAUUCCUCUGUGCCAGAGGCACAGCACAAACACUGCCUUGUAAUACUUGUCAGCAUCUUUGCACUGCAGCUCAAAGAAAAUAAACUACAGAUAUCUGUCCCUUUCA